UUACAUUCGCACUAUUUAAAUAUUUGGAUUACCACGCAUUAAACAUUUAGUAAUUUUUGAAACAAUGGACACCUCCAUUUUGUAAUUUUUUACAACUUACUUAAGAUACUAAACUUUUGUUAUACAAUAUUUUGAAUGUUAAAAGAACGUAUAGAUGAAAAUUUUGAAUGUUAAGAGAAUAUAUAGAUGAAAAUGGUAAUAACAUAAUGUAUAACUUAAACAGGCAAAUUAUAUUUUUGAAAACAGAAUUU
rnacentral:lncRNA from 1 species